GAUCAUGGCGUCAGGAUGAACGCUGGCGGCGUGCCUAACACAUGCAAGUCGAACGGAGUUACGAGAGCUUGCUUUGUAACUUAGUGGCGGACGGGUGAGUAAUGUAUGAGCAACCUGCCUUUCAGAGGGGGACAACAGUUGGAAACGACUGCUAAUACCGCAUAAUGUAUUUGGGUGGCAUCACCUGGAUACCAAAGGAGCAAUCCGCUGAAAGAUGGGCUCAUAUCUGAUUAGUUAGUUGGCAGGGUAACGGCCUACCCAAGACUGCGAUCAGUAGCCGGACUGAGAGGUUGAACGGCCACAUUGGGACUGAGAUACGGCCCAGACUCCUACGGGAGGCAGCAGUGGGGAAUAUUGGGCAAUGGGCGAAAAAGCCUGACCCAGCAACGCCGCGUGAAGGAAGAAGGUCUUCGGAUUGUAAACUUCUUUUAUGAGGGACGAAGGACGUGACGGUACCUCAUGAAUAAGCCACGGCUAACUACGUGCCAGCCGCCGC
rnacentral:rRNA from 1 species